CAUGUGAUCGAUGAAAAAGGGGUGUAUCCGACAAAAGACAAGGUAAAAGCUAUUCAAGAUGCGCCAGCACCAUCAAAUGUGAAGGAACUACGAGUUUUUUUUAGGUUUGGUAAAUUAUUAUGGACGCUUUGUACCACAGCAGAGCACAGUGUUGGCACCACUGUAUAGACUGUUGAAAGAACAAACUGCUUGGUGCUGGGGGAAAAAGGAACAAGGUGCUUUUAGUAGAUGUAAAGAAUUGCUCACCAGUGACAAAGUGCUAGUAUACUAUGAUCCACAACUGCCUUUGACUUUAGCAUGUGAUGCUUCCGCUUAUGGAAUUGGUGCGGUGCUUCAGCACAUCAUGCCAAAUGGUGACGAGCAUCCCAUUGCAUAUGCUUCACGUACUUUGUCCCCUGCUGAAAAGAAAUAUUCACAGAUUGAGAAGGAAGCUUUGAGUGUGAUCUAUGGAGUUAAAAAAUUCCAUCAGUAUCUUUGGGGAAGAUCUUUUAAUUUGAUAACUGAUCAUAGACCAUUAGUGACUCUGUUUGGUGAACAUAAGCAUUUCCCAAUGAUGGCUGCCGCUCGCAUUCAGCGGUGGGUGAUAAUUUUGUCGGCAUAUGAUUAUCAUAUCAUGUAUCGCAAGGCAGAAGAUCAUGGAAAUGCAGAUGGCUUGUCACGAAUUCCAUUACCUGAAAUUACCGAUGUAGGAACAGAAGCCAUUUCAGCAAAUAUCAACACACUUUUGACAAACCAUCUUCAAGAAGCUCCUCUAAAUGCAGCACAGAUUGCCAGAAUGACAAGAACAGAUCAAGAACUUUCUAAAGUGUUUCGUUAUGUCAUGGAAGGUUGGCCAAUUGAAGUGUCAGAUGAUUUGAAAGUAUUCUACGCGAAAAGAGAUGAACUGUCAGUAGAACAGGGAUGUCUGCUAUGGGGCACACGAGUGAUUGUACCAUUCAAAUUUCGAAAAUCAGUGUUACAGGAAAUUCACUCAGGACACCCUGGCAUUGUUAAAAUGAAAGCUCUGACUCGUAAAUAUGUGUGGUGGCCUAAAAUUGAUACGGAUAUAGAAAGAGUUUGCAAGGAGUGUCAAAUCUGUCAACAAGAACAAAGAAUGCCAAGUCACGUCCCUCUUCAUCCUUGGGAAUUCCCGGAUUGAAGAGAUUGUUUUCUGCAUAUGGAUUACCUGAACAAAUCGUGACUGAUAAUGCAACUACUUUUACUUCUGAUGAAUUCCAAAGAUUUGUGAAGCAGAAUGGUAUUAUGCAUACCAGAAGUGCACCAAAACACCCAGCAACAAAUGGAUUGGCAGAAAGAUAUGUCCAGACGUUCAAGAGGGGUAUGAAGAAAUUGACUAAUGAGCAAAUGUGCAUUGAGGAUAGACUAUCUUUAUUUUUAUUGCGCUAUCGCACAACUCCUAAUUGUACCACAGGUCAGUCACCAUCUGAUUUAUUUUUAAAGAGACACAUCCGCACCAGGCUGGACUUCCUGAAACCAAACAUUCAUGAGACGGUUCGCAGAAAACAGUAUUUGCAGAAAAAUCAACAUGACUAUCGGGCAAGAGAGAGAUCCUUUGCUGUGGAUGAUUCUGUUUUCCUGCGAAGUACAGUGGGAGGAGAUCCGAAGUGGUUAUCUGGAGUGAUUACACAACAGACAGGACCUGUUUCGUACAAGGUACAUGAUCCAGCAUCGGAUACUGUGUAUAGACGGCAUGGUGAUCAAUUGAGACCACGCAUUACAUUUGCGCAUUACAGGUACAUUUGACUCUGAGGUACCUCUUGAACUAACAGAACCCCUGAUUCCAAGUCCAGGGGGUCUACGUCGCUCUAAACGAACUAUUAAAUUACCACAGCGUUUUAGAAAUUGAGAAUUUGAACACAUGUGGUGCUUUUGAACUGAUAAUGUGGUGUAUGAUUUUUAAUGGGGGAGGAAAUGUGGUGUAUUUGGGAUAAUGUGUAUAUAUGCAUGAUGAGCAGUCAUUGGUUCCUAUGCCUGGGAAGAGGGUAUUUAAAUCACGUGAUGUGAUUUGCACGUGUGAAAUGUGAUGUAAUCAAUAUGUGAUCUGAACACCAGUAAAGUAUGUUUUGAUA